ACUUGAUGAAUUAACUUAGCGAAGGAUAUAUGACUGUCGAUAAGAUGCUCGAGUAAUAAACCCCAAAACUUGGGUUUCCCUUGUCCAACUUCCAUUUUUCGAGCCAAACUUCCCCUUUCUUUCUUUGAGCCAUCAAACGCUCACCGACAUUCUCCUAAUUGGCAAGGUUUCAUUCAUGGACGUCGUCUCCCUCCUUCGCACUUCAUCCGCAUAAACAUUCUUCGGUGGCGCUUCGUUUUGUGGUUGCAGGGGCUGCGUGACAAAGUGUUGUUGCUGCGUUAGGAGGGCUUCAUGGAGGAGGUGACAACCAUGACGAGAGGCUUCCUGGUGCGUUAAGAGCGGUUUAGGGUUCAUGCGUCUCGAGGCUUAGGCCAUUAAGCCCUCUUCUUAUGCCCUCUUCUUCUUAGAACGAAUCUCUGAGUCUAUUCAAUACAUGCGUCUCAAAUGUUUAAGUCUUGAGAGCCAUAAGGGUUGAGCUUGUGGGAAUGUGUUUAUGUGCUGCCAGUGAGGACAUGUGUUGUUUAGACAUUUGAUUCUUAUUAAAUAUAUUGUAGAUUAUUGAGUCAGUUGGUU